AGAGUAUAGCUCAGUGGUAGAGCACAUGUUUAGCAUGCGCAGGGUGCUGGGUUCAAUCCCCAGUACCUCCA
rnacentral:tRNA from 1 species